GAUGAAGAACGCAGCGAAAUGCGAUAAGUAAUGUGAAUUGCAGAAUUCAGUGAAUCAUCGAAUCUUUGAACGCACAUUGCGCCCCCUGGUAUUCCGGGGGGCAUGCCUGUCCGAGCGUCAUUACAACCCUCAAGCUCAGCUUGGUGUUGGGCCCCGCCGCCCCGGCGGGCCCUAAAGUCAGUGGCGGUGCCGUCCGGCUCCGAGCGUAGUAACUCUUCUCGCUCUGGAGGUCCGGUCGUGUGCUCGCCAGCAACCCCCAAUUUUUUUCAGGUUGACCUCGGAUCAGGUAGGGAUACCCGCUGAACUUAAGCAUAUCAAUAAGCGGAGGA
rnacentral:misc_RNA from 1 species